rnacentral:lncRNA from 1 species
UUGAACUCAGGUGCACUAGACCACUGAGCCACAUCCCCAGCCCUAUUUUGUAUUUUAUUGAUAGACAGGGACUCAUGAGUUGCUUAGUGCCUCAAUUUUGCUGAGGCUGGCUUUGAACUCACUAUCCUCCUGCCUCAGCCUCCCGAGCACCUGGAAUUAUAGGCAUGUGCCACUGCACCCGGUUUAUUUGCUUUUUAAACUUGUCAAUUUCCCUCCUUCCUGCUCCGUUCCAUCCUAGAUAAUGAGUCACUACUCUGUCACAGCAAUCAAAGUUUCUGCCACAUUUAUCACAUAGCAGCUACUUCAAAGAAUUAAAUGCUUGUAACAAAUAUGCAAUACAUACGCUAUACAAAUAUGCAAUAUAUAUUCCUACUCCCAGUUAGCUUAAGAGAUGGAUUUUAGCUGAGAAUUUUCUAGCCCAUGUCCUGGUAGCUGUAACUUAC